ACCACGCUGGCGAUGCUAACGGACUAUAAGCUAAUAGUGGACUCGGGAAAUCAAAAUAAAACUAGUGAUAGCAAGGCGGUCUGAUUGUUUUUGCUGUAGAAUACGAUAGAGGAUAUAUUCUUGUCAGGGUUUGGCAAGGGAGGACCCAACUGCAGAAUUAACAGGGAGAACAGUUUAUUAACAAGAGAGAGAACACAAACAGAUGAGGCAGGAAGACAGUCCACACAAUAGGGCAGGGCACACGACAGGAGAACAGUUUAUUAACAAGAGAGAGAACACAAACAGAUGAGGCAGGAAGACAGUCCACACAAUAGGGCAGGGCACACGACAGGAGAACAGGCUGGUCGGAAGGAGGUAGUUCCAGACUCUGUGGCAAAGGAGACCUGGUAGCAACUCAAGGAACCACAGGCUUGACUCUGUUGAUGGGAACUCUUGAAGCACCAGAAUGUCUGUCAGGUCAGAAGAACCAGCGACCAGGGAGGACUCAGGAAACAGGGCAGGAACCAACACAACUGACAUUCAAAGACAAUACAACAGGAGAGACAAGAGCGACAGAUCAAAAGUAAACUUGCAAACCAAUGCCUAGGGUUAAAAUAAAAACUAAACCACAAAGACCGGAACUAGACGGGAACAAACAAAAACAAGAGUGAACUAGACAAGAUGCAAUAUUCUGACGAAAGAGUUCUAACGAGACUAAAUAUGCAAACAAGAGACUGUACACAAGGCACACACAAAACGAACCAGCCAAGACAAGAGGGAAAUGAGCCCAAUAUAAAGGGAGCAGAGCACACAAGGAACAGGUGAACCUAAUUGGAAAGACAAGGACUAAACAAGGGGGCGUGGUGAUUGAAAACGAGGAGGCAGGACAAGAGGAGCACACGGCCAACAUAAACAAAGACACAACCAUGUGCUCAGGCACAAUAUAAACAGAGACACAUUAAACAAAGACAGGACAGACAAGACUGUCAGGGCAGGAUCCUGACAUAUUCUGACAUUAUAGAAACGAAAAUGAUUGUUUUAAAAUUACAAAAUAGACGAUAAAGAAUUAACGUGACGGAGCUCAAACUCGAGACACACGGC
ensembl:lncRNA